ACAAAAAGUCUUCUCUAGAAUUUUAUUUGUAUUUCUACAUACAUAAAUAAUGUAAGGGCAUUUAAAAAUGGGGGGAUAUGUUUGCGUGUGUUUUUUAAUAUAUAUAAUUAAAAUCGAAGGAAGAGGUGUAUCUGAAAGCGUCGUCUUCCGAACUAGCAACGCAAUGAUGGAGUGAUAGGAAGGGUCUAGCGUUCUGCGGUUCUUCACCACGCCAUGCUGGCAUGAAGAUUUUGAGCGGGAAAAUAAUAAUAAGACAACGUAAAUAACGUUUCUCAAAAAGUUUUCUGUAUAGGUAUAUGCCGAAUGCUUAUUGCUGAGUUGUGGCAGUGGUCGAUACUGAGAGCAUGAAUUCAGCAUCUCCACAGUUCGUUUCCUCGAGAAGGAUGAGUGUGUACGAUCCAAUCCACCAGAUUAGUAUGUGGGGAGAAGGCUUCAAAAGUAAUGGUAAUUUAAGUGCAUCCAUGCCUUUAAUAGACGAGGCAGACAUGAAGUUAGAUAGUCAGUCAGAGGAUGCUUCUCAUGGAAUACUGGGAGCACCUAAUAAGUAUGACCAAGAAGCAAACAAACCAACUGAUAAGAUACAAAGACGUCUAGCACAAAAUCGAGAGGCUGCUCGAAAGAGCCGUUUGAGGAAAAAGGCCUACGUGCAGCAGUUAGAAUCAAGUCGUUUGAAGUUGAUGCAGUUGGAGCAAGAGCUCGAACGUGCAAGACAGCAGGCAACAAAACUGCAGGGGAUGUACAUAGGUGGUGGGUUGGACUCUAAUCAUCUGGGUUUUGCAGGACCGGUAAAUUCAGGAAUUACAACCUUCGAGAUGGAGUACGGACACUGGGUGAACGAGCAAAAUAGGCAAAUCACAGAACUGAGAACGGCUUUAAAUGCUCAUAUCGGUGACAUAGAGCUCAGGAUUCUGGUAGAUGGUAUGAUGAACCACUACGCUGAAAUCUUUCGCAUGAAAUCUGCUGCUGCAAAAGCGGAUGUGUUUUAUGUAAUGUCUGGUAUGUGGAAAACAACGGCUGAAAGAUUUUUCCUUUGGAUCGGAGGCUUUCGCCCCUCUGAGCUUCUAAAGGUUCUUGGGCCCCUGAUUGAACUUCUCACAGAGCAACAACAGUUGGAUAUCUAUAACCUUGGACAAUCAUGUCAACAAGCAGAAGAUGCUCUGUCACAAGGUAUGGACAAACUCCGGCAAACUCUUGCUGAUAGUGUAGCAGCCGGACAGUUCAUGGAAGGAACGUACAUUCCACAGAUGACUUGUGCAAUGGAGAAGUUGGAAGCUCUGGUGAGCUUUGUGAACCAGGCUGACCAUCUUCGGCAGGGAACCUUGCAGCAGAUGUCUCGAAUACUUACAAUCCGUCAGGCUGCUCGAUGCUUGCUUGCUUUGGGAGAAUAUUUCCAACGCCUGAGGGCUUUGAGCUCACUCUGGUCUAACAGACCCCGUGAACCUGCUUAGUCUCACAAACAGGUUACAAGAGCCAAAACUUGUAACAUGAACAUGAUGCGAUGAUGAAUAACAUUGGUCACUUUCUUUGGCCAAGAGCAUCAAAACAGUGCAUCAUGUGAGGGUCCAGGUUGCUCACAUUUUUCCUGCAGUUUUGCGUUAUGGAGAAGUUAUGCCACUCCUUUCCUCUGUAUCCACAACAAAAUCUGCAUAUGAGGAGGCAUGUGGACGUCGGCAAAGAAUCUGGAGUCUGCAACUUGGUUAAAUAGCCAGGAAAGAAUUAUGUGUACCUGCAUUAUUUUUGGUCAAAUACAUUGGUGUCUUAAUCCUGAAAACAUUUCCAUGCAUUCCUCCUUUACCGACUAGAACACCGAGCUCCUCAAUUUAUAGGAGUAAACAGUUUCUAUGUCGGGAAAAAAUCUUGGAAAAGAAAGCUUCUAUGCUAUUACUUUUAUGCAACCAAUCUUUAUCACCUCUGAAUAUUUCAUGCAUAGGUGCUAUUUUACAGGGACACCAAAUAUAUUUGUAGACAUUUUUAAGUCAUAUUAUAUGCAUUUGUAUUUUGAGAGAAAAUUCUCUUAACUUUUAUAUUAGAACUUAUUCUUAUCAAAGAAUAACAUUUUCGUGGUGAAUAUUCAGUUAA